rnacentral:rRNA from 1 species
CCUACGGGAGGCAGCAGUUGGGAAUCUUGGACAAUGGGGGAAACCCUGAUCCAGCCAUGCCGCGUGAGUGAUGAAGGCCUUCGGGUUGUAAAACUCUUUCGACGGGGACGAUAAUGACGGUACCCGUAGAAGAAGCUCCGGCUAACUUCGUGCCAGCAGCCGCGGUAAUACGAAGGGGGCUAGCGUUGUUCGGAAUUACUGGGCGUAAAGCGCGCGCAGGCGGCUAUCCAAGUCAGUGGUGAAAGCCCGGAGCUCAACUCCGGAACUGCCAUUGAAACUGUUUAGCUUGAGGACGAGAGAGGUGAGUGGAAUUCCCAGUGUAGAGGUGAAAUUCGUAGAUAUUGGGAAGAACACCGGUGGCGAAGGCGGCUCACUGGCUCGUAUCUGACGCUCAGGCGCGACAGCGUGGGGAUCAAACAGGAUUAGAUACCCUGGUAGUCCACGCCGUAAACGAUGAAUGCUAGCCGUUGGGUAGCUUGCUAUCUAGUGCGCNGCUACGCAUAAGCAUCCGUCCGUCGGGUAGGUACGGCCGCGACGGUUAGUAACUACAAUAGAAGUUAGACGGCGUGAGACGUGCCGAACGGACGACGACGAGGGAGGUAGG